rnacentral:tRNA from 1 species
UAACAAGAUAGAUUCAAUUCUAAUUUUAAUUUCGACUUAAAAUAAGGUGAAAACCCUAGUUAA